rnacentral:rRNA from 1 species
UACGUAGGGCGCAAGCGUUGUCCGGAAUUAUUGGGCGUAAAGAGCUCGUAGGCGGUUUGUCGCGUCGGCCGUGAAAUCUCCACGCUUAACGUGGAGCGUGCGGUCGAUACGGGCAGACUUGAGUUCGGUAGGGGGAGACUGGAAUUCCUGGUGUAGCGGUGAAAUGCGCAGAUAUCAGGAGGAACACCGGUGGCGAAAGGCGGGGUCUCUGGGGCCGAUACUGACGUGAGGAGCGAAAAGCGUGGGGGAGCGAACAGG